CUUCCCCCUUCCCAAGACGAGCGGCCCCCACCCCCAUGAGAUGUUCCAUUUUGAGCUUUACCCCUAAGAGUCUUCUCUCUCCCCCAACGGCGCACCGGCCACACACCCGUCAUCUUCUCCCUUCCCUUUCUUUCCUCUCCAUUUUCUUCUUUAUGGGGCUUCUUCCAGGACGGCCGACGGCAGUGGCCGGCCCCCAUCCCAACUCUUCAUUUUUUUUAUUUUUUUUUUCAUUUUUUCUCCCUCCUCCCUCAACUCCCACACAGACCGUCGGGGAACCCUUCCUAUUUUUCCUUUCCCAUUUUUUUUUAUGGGUUUUUGCUCCCUUCGAACACCCACUGCCACACACCCCCUCAUUUUUCCUUCCUUCCAUUUUUUUUUUUUCUUUUUCAUUUCUUUUUAUUUCUCGUUAAACCCAUCUCCAUAUCCACGGUCGUUCAGUCACACCGACGAGCUACCGCCGUCGACGUCAUUUUCGGCAGUCGGGGAUUUCCUCCCCUUCCAUCCUUUUUUUUCCACGACUCAUUCUCCAAUCUUAUUAGCUGAGUACGAAUUGAUGACACGUGGAACUUAUUCUCAUGGGCAAAGGAUUGAAUUUGUCCCGAAGCUUCCUCUGGUGAUCGGAGAUUUGGCCACGAGCAUCGAGGUGCCAGCGACACCAAGUCUACUUGUUAAAAAUAUUUUUUUUAAAACACUGUCAAGAGGAUUCUAAAGCAAUACCAGGUUGCAACUGCCGAGGAUGAGGGUAUGAGGAGGGCGCUGAAGAGAAUUGUGAGGCCUAAAAGCCUUAAGCCUAAAUAAGGUUUUGUGAGAUGAGCACCUAAGCUUGCCCAUUUGUCUGCUACUACUAUAUGUGGCUGUUAUAGUUUCAGAUUUAUUUCCAUUUUGCUUUCAGCUUGUUUGUAUCAUCAUCUGGUUUGAAUCUUUUGUGGGUUGUGUUCUAUUCAGGCAUCUGAAUAAGGAUUUCUCAUUUUUACAACAAUUGGGGUGUACAAGGGAUGAGGUGGACCAUUCUCCGUUAUAUUUGGGAUCUCACUUUGCUGGUAUGUCAUUGGGUUUUUAGUCGCAACCAGAUGGAAAUUGAAGGAAAAGUAGCUGUUUAAUCUCACCACAUUUUCUAUGCAAUCAUCAGUUUUCCACAUCCAUGUUUAAAUGAUACGAUCUGGAUGUCUAUUUAAGUAAAAAGCAGUCAAUUCCUUAAACAACUUGGAUUGUGCCCUUCUUAUUUAUAGCUUUCACGAGCUUGUUUGGUGAGGGACUCACUUGGCUAAGUCCAUAAGGAUCCCUUUUUCAUGUU